rnacentral:rRNA from 1 species
CCCUUAGAUGUUCUGGGCUGCACGCGCGCUACACUGAUGCAUGCAACGAGUUUUCGACCUUGCCUGAAAAGGUUGGGUAAUCUGUUUAACAUGUGUCGUGAUGGGGAUAGACCAUUGCAAUUAUUGAUCUUCAACGAGGAAUUCCUAGUAAGCGCGAGUCAUCAGCUCGUGCUGAUUAUGUCCCUGCCCUUUGUACACACCGCCCGUCGCUCCUACCGAUUGAGUGAUCUGGUGAAUGAUUCGGACCAGCGUGCUGCUCAGAUCCUGCGCAGUGUGCUGGGAAGUCUAGUGAACCUUAUCACUUAGAGGAAGGAGAAGUCGUAACA